GGGGGGGGGGGGGGGUAGGGGAUGGUGAAAUAUGGAAAAUGCAAGUCAAAUUUGGUGGGCUAUAGCUCAAGUGAGCCUUGACAAGCAUAGUCAGAGGACUAUGUUGAAGGCUUAUGGUAGGUACAUGUAAAAUAAAUGAAAAUUUGUCAAUAUCAAGUUAUGAUUCUUCGAAUCCAGUAAUGACGAUUUCUGCACAAGUUUAUCUCAGAUCAUUAAGGGGUGUAUGAUUAAAAAACUAAUUAUAUAGGAAUAUAACACAUGUAUUGUUAUAAAGUGAACAAUCAAAACAUGAAAUUUUAUGUAUGAGUUGCAAUACCAAACACAUGAAUUUUUUUAUGCAUGUAUUCACAUACAAAAAAUUAAGUGCAUUCUAAUCCUCGUACUUCAAAUACUUUCAAUUCACAUAAAUUGAAUAAACAUUUAAAAGUUGUGAUGGAUAAACUUUUAUCCUUAAUUCAAGCUGAGAAUAAAAAAUAUUAAUAGACGGAUCCAAAUUAAUUGAGACCAGAGAGCAGUACUGGAACUGAACGAAAACAUUAAAAAAAAGCAUAAAUUGGAAUAGAGAGAGUUCUCAUGUUGAAUGGCCAAAAUAAUAUGUAACCCAAAAUAAUAUGCAAGUUUCGACCCAUUCUACACAUAUAUUUAUUUUUCUUAAUUAAAUUCUUUUCGUCCCAAUUUAUGUGGCAGUGUUUUAUUUCGAGAGUCAAACAAGUAUUUUUUUACUAUUACAAAAUUUUUCUAAUAUGUAAAUCCUACUUGGAAAAAACUUUUAAAUUCUAUGUUCAAAUAUAUGAUCAAAGUUAAAAAGUUUGACUUUAAAACCAAAAAAAUGUCAUAUAAAUCGGGAUAGAUUUAGUAAUAAAAUAAUGCACAUAGGCAAUUGGUUCCUAUUUUCCCGAGGAUACGUUGUAAUCUAUCUCGGAUUCUAUAUUCUCCCGAAUAUCUCGUAACAUCAUUUUGUUCUUUUUCUUUGAUCAGAAGCAGUAAAACUGAUUUUCGAUUGGAAGAAAUAAUCGCUUAGAUCAGAAUUGAGCUAUGGACUCUGCUGAUUGGCGCACUCAACUUCUACCCGAUUCUCGUCAAAGGAUUAUCAACAACAUAACCGAGACCUUAAAGAGGCACCUUUCUGUCACUAGGGAAGAAGGAGUUCAGGAGCUCAAGAAAAUUGCAGUGGGGUUUGAGGAAAAGAUCUAUACUGCUGCCACAAGUCAACCAGAUUAUCUACGAAAAAUAUCUCUAAAGAUGCUGACUAUGGAGACAAAAUCUCAAAAUCCUAUGACCAAUUCGAGCAAUGCUGCAAGUAGUGGUCAGAAUGGCCAUGACCCAGGUACCGCCCCAGCUGGAGCUGCAGCCGGAGCUAUGGACGCCCCUGAUUGGCGGACUCAACUUCUACCUGAUUCUCGUCAAAGCAUUGUGAACAAGAUAACCGAGGCCUUAAAGAGGCAUCUUCCUGUCACUAGACAAGAAGGAGUUCAGGAGCUUAUGAAAAUUGCAGUGGGGUUUGAGGAAAAGAUCUAUACUGCUGCUACAAGUCAGCCAGAUUAUCUACGAAUGAUAUCUCUAAAGAUGCUGAAUCUUGAGACAAUAUCUCAAAAUCCUACAACCAAUUCGACCAAUGCUGCUAGUAGUGGUCAGAAUGCCGAUGACCCAGGUACCGCCCCAGCUGGAGCUGCAGCCGGAGCUAUGGACGCCGUUGACUGGCGGACUCAACUUCUACCUGAUUCUCGUCAAUGGAUUGUCAACAAGAUAACCGAGGCCUUAAAGAGGCAUCUUCCUGUCACUAGACAAGAAGGAGUUCAGGAGCUUAUGAAAAUUGCAGUGGGGUUUGAGGAAAAGAUCUAUACUGCUGCUACAAGUCAGCCAGAUUAUCUACGAAAAAUAUCUCUAAAGAUGCUGACUAUGGAGACAAACUCUCAAAAUCCUAUGACCAAUUCGGCCAAUGCUGCAAGUAGUGGUCAGAAUGCCCAUGACCCAGGUACCUCCCCAGCUGGAGCUGCAGCCGGAGCUAUGGACGCCGUUGAUUGCCGGACUCAACUUCUACCUGAUUCUCGUCAAAGGAUUGUCAACAAGAUAACCGAGACCUUAAAGAGGCAUCUUCCUGUCAGUGGAGAAGGAGGAGUUCAGGAGCUCAAGAAAAUUGCAGUGAGGUUUGAGGAAAAGAUCUAUACUGCUGCUAUAAGUCAGCCAGAUUAUCUACGAAAAAUAUCUCUAAAGAUGCUUGACUAUGGAGAACAUCCUAUGACCAAUUCGACCAAUGCUGCAAGUAGUGGUCAGAAUGCCCUUGGCCCAGGAAAGGGAAAUUACUCGAGGAAGCACGAAGAGAAAGAGAGAAGACUCGGGAGAUAAUGUUGAAGAGCAUAAUGAUCAAAUACUACCAACAUUUACAUGUGAAAUAUGCACUGAAGUUGUUCCAAUAACCAAGAAAUUCAACAAUUUUCAUAGUUGCAAUCAUUCUUUUUGCUCAAAAUGCAUAGAGAGGCACGUCGAAGUGAAAAUCCAACUAAGGAUUGCUGAUAUACAGUGCCCGUAUGUAGAUUGUGGGAAACUUUUGGACCCUCUAGUAUGUAGAACGAUGAUUCCCUUAUCGAUUUUCGAGAAGUGGUGUGACCUUCUCUGCAAGCAGGCUCAUUUAGGAUUCGAGAAAUGUUACUGUCCUUAUCAAGAUUGUGGAGAACUCAUUGUUAAAGAGUGUGGGGAUGUUGUUGGAAAAUCGGAGUGUCCUAAGUGCAGAAGAUUGAUUUGCUUUCAGUGUGGGCUUCCAUGGAAUGUCUGUGAAGAAAAUGGAUGUUCAAAGGUGAAUGAUACUUUGUUCAAAGAACUUGUGGAGCAAAAGCAAUGGACUAAAUGUCCUAGCUGUAAUAUGUAUGUCGAACGAAUUGCAGGCUGCAAUCAUAUGCAAUGCAGAUGCAAUUUCAGUUUCUGCUACAAAUGCGGGAAAAACCCUACUGCUCAGAGGCGCUGGUGCAGGUGCAAAUAAGAUUGAAGAUCCUCAUUUUGCACAUGUUAGGUUCACCUUUUUUCAUGAUAAAAGGUUGUAUAUUUAAUAAAAUAACUAUAAAUGGUUUGAUUUAUAUACACUGACGUUGUUAAAAAUAAUUGCACUAUCAAUAUGUUGCCUGCUACUUAUCUGCUUUA